rnacentral:rRNA from 1 species
AUUGAACGCUGGCGGCAGGCCUAACACAUGCAAGUCGAACGAGUGGCGGACGGGUGAGUAAUGUCUGGGAAACUGGCCGAUGGAGGGGGAUAACUACGGGAAACGGUCGCUAAUACCGCGUACCAUCGGAUGUGCCCAGGUGGGAUUAGCUAGUAGGGGGGGUAACGGCUCACCUAGGCGACGCUCCCUAGCUGGUCUGAGAGGAUGACCAGCCACACCGGAACUGAGACACGGCCCAGACUCCGACGGGAGGCAGCAGUGGGGAAUAUUGCGCAAUGGGCGCAAGCCUGAGGCAGCCAUGCCGCGUGUAUGAAGAAGGCCUUCGGGUUGUAAAGUACUUUCAGCGAGGAGGCGUUACUCGCAGAAGAAGCACCGGCUAACUCCGUGCCAGCCGCCGCGGUAAUUC